rnacentral:rRNA from 1 species
GCACAAGCGGUGGAGCAUGUGGCUUAAUUCGACGCAACGCGAAGAACCUUACCAAGGCUUGACAUAUACCGGAAAACCGUAGAGAUACGGUCCCCCUUGUGGUCGGUAUACAGGUGGUGCAUGGUUGUCGUCAGCUCGUGUCGUGAGAUGUUGGGUUAAGUCCCGCAACGAGCGCAACCCUCGUUCUGUGUUGCCAGCGGGUUAUGCCGGGGACUCACAGGAGACUGCCGGGGUCAACUCGGAGGAAGGUGGGGACGACGUCAAAUCAUCAUGCCCCUUAUGUCUUGGGCUGCACACGUGCUACAAUGGCCGGUACAAUGAGCUGCGAUACCGCGAGGUGGAGCGAAUCUCAAAAAGCCGGUCUCAGUUCGGAUUGGGGUCUGCAACUCGACCCCAUGAAGUCGGAGUUGCUAGUAAUCGCAGAUCAGCAUUGCUGCGGUGAAUACGUUCCCGGGC